rnacentral:rRNA from 1 species
UACAGAGGUCCCAAGCGUUGUUCGGAUUCACUGGGCGUAAAGGGUGCGUAGGCGGUCGGGUAAGUCUGACGUGAAAUCUCCAAGCUCAACUUGGAAAUGGCGUCGGAUACUAUUCGGCUGGAGGAAUGGAGGGGAGACUGGAAUUCUCGGUGUAGCAGUGAAAUGCGUAGAUAUCGAGAGGAACACCAGUGGCGAAGGCGGCCAACUGGGAUACACCUGACGCUGAGGCACGAAGGCGUGGGGAGCGAACGGG